rnacentral:rRNA from 1 species
CCUACGGGUGACAGCAGUGGGGAAUAUUGCACAAUGGGGGGAACCCUGAUGCAGCGACGCCGCGUGGGUGAAGAAGCAUCUCGGCAUGUAAAGCCCUUUCAGCAGGGAAGAAAAUGACGGUACCUGACGAAGAAGCCCCGGCUAACUACGUGCCAGCAGCCGCGGUAAUACGUAGGGGGCCAGCGUUAUCCGGAUUUACUGGGUGUAAAGGGGGCGUAGACGGCUUUGCAAGUCAGGAGUGAAAGCCCGGGGCUCAACCACGGGACUGCUUUUGAAACUGCGGGGCUGGAGUGCAGGAGAGGCAGGCGGAAUUCCUGGUGUAGCGGUGAAAUGCGUAGAUAUCAGGAGGAACACCGGUGGCGAAGGCGGCCUGCUGGACAGUAACUGACGUUGAGGCUCGAAAGCGUGGGGAGCAAACAGGAUUAGAUACCCCGGUAGUC